UAAAUUUAGAUAUAAGGUUUUUUAAAUAAAAAAUUAUAUAUUUGCUAACUACAUAAAAAUAAUAUAAAAUUAUAAUAUUAAUAAUUAAAAAUAUUAUAUAAAUUAAAAAAAUAUCAGAGAGUACCAAGGUAUCUUUAUUUUUGGCCUCUUAGGUCAGAUAAGCUUAAUUUCUUGCACCUACCAUCAGCAAACCCCUUAUUCCUUUUCCUCCUCUUCUUCUUUGUUCUGAAGUAAUCAAGAAACAUCCAUUUUUCAACCAAAAACGCCAUGGAUCUUUCACCAGAACAGCUCCAAAACUUAAGCUUACCAUCAAUUAUCAAAGAAUCAAUUUCCAUACCAAAAAGAUCUGCACAAACUUUCUACAGAAUCACUCUUAGCUUAAUCUUGCCACUCUCUUUUGCAAUCUUGGCUCAUUCUUUCAUCACCCAUCCAAUUAUCAAACAACUUCAUGAAAACCCAAGUGCUUCUCAUGCUUCUCAAUGGACUAAACUUUGGUGUUUCAAAAUAAGUGAAUCAUUAAUUUUUUUUUUCAAAUUUACCUUUGACAACCAAUUAACUUUUGAAAAGGUAUUACAAGGUCAACUUUUUCUUUUUGGGGUAAAAAUGAAAAGUUGUGUUAAAUUUAUGUCUUUAGUGCUUUUUCCUUAAUUUUUGUGUCAAAAUUCAACAAUUCAUUUGUUAUAAAACGAAGGGAGUAUCAUACUAUUUAUAUACACAAUUUAAAUUAUUAGAGUCAAAUAAUUUAAUUUUGAUCGUAAAUUUAUAUAUAAGGUUUUUUAAAUAAAAAAUUAUAUAUUUGCUAACUACAUAAAAAUAAUAUAAAAUUAUAAUAUUAAUAAUUAAAAAUAUUAUAUAAAUUAAAAAAAUAUCAGAGAGUACCAAGGUAUCUUUAUUUUUGGCCUCUUAGGUCAGAUAAGCUUAAUUUCUUGCACCUACCAUCAGCAAACCCCUUAUUCCUUUUCCUCCUCUUCUUCUUUGUUCUGAAGUAAUCAAGAAACAUCCAUUUUUCAACCAAAAACGCCAUGGAUCUUUCACCAGAACAGCUCCAAAACUUAAGCUUACCAUCAAUUAUCAAAGAAUCAAUUUCCAUACCAAAAAGAUCUGCACAAACUUUCUACAGAAUCACUCUUAGCUUAAUCUUGCCACUCUCUUUUGCAAUCUUGGCUCAUUCUUUCAUCACCCAUCCAAUUAUCAAACAACUUCAUGAAAACCCAAGUGCUUCUCAUGCUU
rnacentral:lncRNA from 1 species